AUUGAACGCUGGCGGCAUGCCUUACACAUGCAAGUCGAACGGCAGCACGGGUGCUUGCACCUGGUGGCGAGUGGCGAACGGGUGAGUAAUACAUCGGAACAUGUCCUGUAGUGGGGGAUAGCCCGGCGAAAGCCGGAUUAAUACCGCAUACGAUCUACGGCUGAAAGCGGGGGACCUUCGGGCCUCGCGCUAUAGGGUUGGCCGAUGGCUGAUUAGCUAGUUGGUGGGGUAAAGGCCUACCAAGGCGAUGAUCGGUAGCUGGUCUGAGAGGACGACCAGGCACACGGGAACUGAGACACGGCCCAGACUCCUACGGGAGGCAGCAGUGGGGAAUGUUGGACAAUGGGGGAAAGCCUGAUCCAGCAAUGCCGCGUGUGUGAAGAAGGCCUUCGGGUUGUAAAGCACUUUUGUCCGGAAAGAAAUCCUUUGCUCUAAUACAGUCGGGGGAUGACGGUACCGGAAGAAUAAGCACCGGCUAACUACGUG
rnacentral:rRNA from 1 species